UACGUAGGGUGCGAGCGUUAAUCGGAAUUACUGGGCGUAAAGCGUGCGCAGGCGGUUUUGUAAGUCAGAUGUGAAAUCCCCGGGCUCAACCUGGGAACUGCGUUUGAAACUACAAGGCUAGAGUGUAGCAGAGGGGGGUGGAAUUCCACGUGUAGCAGUGAAAUGCGUAGAGAUGUGGAGGAACACCGAUGGCGAAGGCAGCCCCCCUGGGUUAACACUGACGCUCAGGCACGAAAGCGUGGGGAGCAAACAGG
rnacentral:rRNA from 1 species